rnacentral:rRNA from 1 species
AUUGAACGCUGGCGGCAUGCCUUACACAUGCAAGUCGAACGGCAGCACGGGAGCAAUCCUGGUGGCGAGUGGCGAACGGGUGAGUAAAGUAUCGGAACGUGCCCAGUCGUGGGGGAUAACGUAGCGAAAGUUACGCUAAUACCGCAUACGAUCUAUGGAUGAAAGCGGGGGAUCGCAAGACCUCGCGCGAUUGGAACGGCCGAUAUCAGAUUAGGUAGUUGGUGGGGUAAAGGCUCACCAAGCCGACGAUAUGUAGCUGGUCUGAGAGGACGACCAGCCACACUGGGACUGAGACACGGCCCAGACUCCUACGGGAGGCAGCAGUGGGGAAUUUUGGACAAUGGGCGAAAGCCUGAUCCAGCCAUGCCGCGUGCAGGAUGAAGGCCUUCGGGUUGUAAACUGCUUUUGUACGGAACGAAAAGGUUUGGCCUAAUAAGCUGAGCUCAUGACGGUACCGUAAGAAUAAGCACCGGCUAACUACGUGCCAGCCGCCGCGGUAA